rnacentral:rRNA from 1 species
GACGAACACUGGCGGCGUGCUUAACACAUGCAAGUCGAACGGAAAGGCCCUGCUUUUGUGGGGUGCUCGAGUGGCGAACGGGUGAGUAACACGUGAGUAACCUGCCCUUGACUUUGGGAUAACUUCAGGAAACUGGGGCUAAUACCGGAUAGGAGCUCCUGCUGCAUGGUGGGGGUUGGAAAGUUUCGGCGGUUGGGGAUGGACUCGCGGCUUAUCAGCUUGUUGGUGGGGUAGUGGCUUACCAAGGCUUUGACGGGUAGCCGGCCUGAGAGGGUGACCGGCCACAUUGGGACUGAGAUACGGCCCAGACUCCUACGGGAGGCAGCAGUGGGGAAUAUUGCACAAUGGGCGGAAGCCUGAUGCAGCAACGCCGCGUGUGGGAUGACGGCCUUCGGGUUGUAAACCGCUUUCGCCUGUGACGAAGCGUGAGUGACGGUAAUGGGUAAAGAAGCACCGGCUAACUACGUG